rnacentral:lncRNA from 1 species
CCAGACUUCACUACAGACAAAUCUGACCAUUUAGCAUUUUCUUUCCAGGUCCAGGUCUCUCCACAUGAAGGAAGAUGACAGCCGGGAGGGGAACCAUCACAGAGACAAACACUCGCAGGAGCCGUGAGGAGCUGGCAGAGAGGCGUUUGUGGUGAUUUAUAGGAGCCAAGGGCUGCCUAGAGGGAUGUGGAUGUUAUCAGCUCGGUGGAUUAAAUGCCCAUUUACAUUGUUAUUGAUAUAUAAAUUAUCCGUAUCAAGCAGACAGUAAGGAAAAGGAUUUCUUGGGCAGGAAUGGGGCACACACCCCAGGAUAUGGACUCUUCUUUGCCCAAAUUUGUCCUCUGGGCUCUUGUAAAGUGAGUUGCAACCCUGAAGUGAAACCCUGGUCCUCAUCCUCCAACAUGUCAGCGACAGCCUCCUCCGUCCCCAAGGCAUCCGUGGCUAGCCAGGUUCCCAAGUGGCUUUCAAGACGAUGGCAAGACUUCUGAACAGAUAGCACAAGUUCCCUUCUGGUGGGACCUCGUCUGGUGGUGGUGCGCACAGGUUGCUGUGGUGUGGGGCACUUGGUUCUGCUGUGGAUUUAAACUAUCACCGAACAAGAUUUUAUGCCUGGGAAAUGGAAUCGAUUUCUGAGUCAAGCCAACAGCAGAAGAGAAAGCCCGUCACUCAUGGACUGGAAGAUCAAAAGAGGCUGUCUCCAGCUGCUCCAGGGACUAGAAACUGCCAGGAACAGACAACCAGAAGUAAGUUUAGCCUGCCUGGCCAAGCUCUACACACACCCAACUCCCAGUCAUCCAUGAGUCUGCAGACACAUCCGGGACCGGAGACAACUUUUGACUUCCUUCUUGCCUGUCAUGGGCCAUUUGUGGUCUGUAAAUAGCUGGGUGUUUCUCUAGAGUGUGAGGCUUGAGCUGACAGUGACUGGAUAGUACCAUUCUUAUUGCGACCUGGUACCUGCCUCCAAAGAUGCCAUGUUGAUGAGGGGCUUCUAAAACCAUGGAAAGUUCAUUAAGGGGGUGUAACCUGAAAGGGGGUUACAUCCCACAGUAUAAUUGGCUAAUGUUUGUAGGGUCUCAGCCAUUCAUCUGAGAUGCUUUGGUGGAAAAUUAGACAUGCAGAAUCUUGAGCUCUGGUCUUAUUCAAUUUUUAAUUAAUUUUCAUGUAAUAAGCUGUAAGCACAUUAAUAUCAAUGAGUUACUUCCUGCAGUGUGGCUAGCAUAUGGCUUUCAGGAGCCAGGGGUAUUGUCUUUCCCUUUAUUUGGGUUGAAUAAAGAUUACUGAUUCUCUCAAGUAUUAUUUUCUGACUUCUUUGGAGGUGGGGCUAGAAGAGAUUAAUUAAAUUUCCCCAGCACGCUUGGGUUGAGAUUUCACAGGCGUUUAGCUGGGGAGCAACAAGAAGACUCAUCUUCUUGUAUGCAGGGCUCAUCCAAGACUGAGCUGCCAGAGGAACCAGCAACAGCCUCUGGAGCACGGUGAGCUCAACAUUGUUAUGAGAAGGUCUGAGAAGAAUUCCACAGUGAAAAUAUGUAAAGUAUGUAUGUGGCACGCUGUGCCUAGACACCAAGGUCCUGCCCAGCCCCGUCCUUUUUUCAGACAAAUGUGCUGUCGCCAUUUGAGCACCUCUGGUGCACAGAUGAGAUGUACCCCAGUAUCUGGGAGGCAGCCGUCUAGGAUGAAGUGUUUUAAC